CUUAGAAGAUUCUGCAGGGCUUGGUUGCUUGUGAGUACCGGGUGUAGUUAAUCAAUGCUGUUUUUAGGGGUCCAGUCUCUGCUUAGAAAUAUUGUUGUGGCUUGUCUGGCCAGGCAGGCUGAUUUACGUACCCUACCUGGUGUUUUACAUCUAGUAGGCCAUUACACCCAUUAAGUAUACUAAAUAUGGCAGAAAGAUACUUUUAUACAUGAGAAUUUUGCAUGUGUUUGGGUUAUCUUGCUAUAAUUUUGAAGAAAAGCUCAUGUACACUCAUGGUUUAUCUGGUUAUCACUAGAUAGAACAGUGUAUUUAUUUACAUAGGCAUGUUUUAAGUAAGGUUUAAG